GAUUUCAACUGAAAAAGUCAUCAACAUCAAAAUUGUAUAACUCAUCAAUAUCUAUAACUUUUAUUUUGGUCAUUUCUUCAUCCGAUAAAGUAAUAGUAAUAUUGUUAACAAAAUUUAUAUAUCCCUCUUAUAGUUUAUAAAGUAUAUAAAAAAUAUAUACAUUUUGUGAACAAUGUUACAAAUCACUUUGUCAGAUGAAGAAAUGACCCAAAUAAAAGUUAUAGAUAUUGAUGAGUUAUACCACUUUAUUGUUAAUGACUUGUUCAGUUGAAAUC
rnacentral:pre_miRNA from 1 species